rnacentral:lncRNA from 1 species
AGUGGGGUGGUUUGUUAUGCAGCAAUAACUAACACUGGGUUUUAACUCGAGAACGCUCUAGGUUCCUUUCUGCUCCAAUAGCAUUAUGUAACUCAUGCUAAGCCUCUCCUAAAGCUGCUACCACAGGAGCAGUGAAAAAGCCCAAGUACCAAAUUAGCCAGAGAUUUCUUAUAAGUUGACAGCUUUCUCAAGCCACAAAAUGCUUCGGGUACAGGUUUCCCUUCAGGAAAGUCAGACUCAUAUCCUUGGAAGGAAUUAAAAUGUUUGUCAAGCAGGCUCCUCCUCAUAAAAAAUGCCCGUCCCGACAUUUUCCAAGUCAACUAAAGCAGAUGCUGGCUGAGUCACAGCGUGAUGAAGCAUUGCUAACCCAAGACGUGAAUCGAGAGCACGUGGGGGAUACUGCUUUUAUGCUGAACUAGGAAGACAGCAGCCGCCAUCAAAGCCAGAAUCGAACAUAAAAUUUAACAAUCAAACACGACAAAAACAGUUUAAAAAUGGAUUUGUACUUUGUUUAUCAUCUGUUCCCCCAUGUUAGAAUGUUAGCUCUAUGAGAACAGAGCUUUCACUUCUGCUUCCUCUCCACUGUGUCUUCAGGACAACAAACACUGCC